rnacentral:rRNA from 1 species
AGCGAACGCUGGCGGCAGGCCUAACACAUGCAAGUCGAACGAAGUCUUCGGACUUAGUGGCGGACGGGUGAGUAACACGUGGGAACGUGCCUUUAGGUUCGGAAUAACUCAGGGAAACUUGUGCUAAUACCGAAUGUGCCCUUCGGGGGAAAGAUUUAUCGCCUUUAGAGCGGCCCGCGUCUGAUUAGCUAGUUGGUGGGGUAAUGGCCCACCAAGGCUACGAUCAGUAGCUGGUCUGAGAGGAUGACCAGCCACAUUGGGACUGAGACACGGCCCAAACUCCUACGGGAGGCAGCAGUGGGAAUCUUGCGCAAUGGGCGAAAGCCUGACGCAGCCAUGCCGCGUGGAUGAUGAAGGUCUUAGGAUUGUAAAAUCCUUUCACCGGGGACGAUAAUGACGGUACCCGGACAAGAAGCCCCGGCUAACUUCGUGCCAGCAGCCGCCGUAACAC